UUCUGGGAGUUCCAUGUUAGACAGGCUGGCUGGGCAGGGCAUGAUUCUCUAGCUUCCCUGAGGACCUGUGGACUUUAUGCCGGGGAUGAUGAAACUCUCUUACCUCCCAGGCUGGCCUGAACUUGAGAUCCUCUUGUUUCAACCUCUCAGUGCUGGGGUGUCUAGCUUCCAGGUAGGUGUUUAAUGGGAUGGAUGGAUGGAGGGUCUCAGUCUGACCUUUCCGGUGUACUGCCAGUACCCUCCUGUGUGCUCCCGUGUCUAGCGCUGCUGCUGUUUGGAGGGAAUUAUUUUCACAGCCUCUGGCAGGCCUCUGCUUCCAGACUACUAAUUCUCUCAAAAGGAUCCCUUAAGAAUUCAAGCCACAGCUGGGGUUGGUGGUGCUCGCCUUUAAUCCGAGCACCCAGGAGGCUGCAGACCACUACAGGCAUGGAAUGAGUUCCAGGUCAGAGAGGACUGACUACACAGUGAAACGCCAUGUCAGCAGUCACAGCAAAGCAAGCAGAUUUAAACUCAAG
rnacentral:lncRNA from 1 species